GAGUUUCCCAAGUUCAAUUAAUACAAUAUUAUAAACAUACAAAUGUAAUAAAAAUUAUUGUUCGCGAAUAUUCAAUUUGGAAUGCGAUUUUGUUAAUAAAAAAAAAUACUUAUAACUUAUGCAAAACCCAAGAGAGGCAUUUAUAUUUAUUUCUUUUGCGUUCAUUUUCAAAUUCGCCGUGCAUAUAUUUUUGUGCAUGGCGCUUGAGAGGGCAUCACGUGACUAAAAACGACCAACCAACGACCUCGCUUCGGCCAUCUUGGCAUCUUCAUCUUGGCCACCUUGCUUUGCCGUGGGUGGAUCGUUGUUUCUAUUAUUUGUGCUUUUUAAGAAUAUUUUUUUAAUUCGGAUACUUUUAUAAUAGCUUUAAUAGUAUUAUUAACAUAGUGAAUAAAAUGGUGUCCUGUUUUUAACGCAGUUGGAGUAGCAGAAACAAAUGUAGAUAAAAAAAUCUGCAGGAAUAACGUUUCAAUUAUGACAGAAGCUCCAAACAAAUGACUGUGAAUGAAAAGCCCUAUUAAAAGCUUUCCAGAAGAUCCUGCGAAGAAGACAUGAAGUAUAGAUCAGAUUUGUUAAUAGAGGAGUAUGUUCAAAACACUUUUUAGAAAAAGAUAUUGACAGAACUUCACUUUCAUCUGUUCGUUUAAGAGACUGUGCUGUUCCAAUAGCUUAUGUCACACAGAAUCAGCUGAGAGAAGUGGUCUACAAAAAACCAGAAAGGAAACGGAAUAUGUGGCUACGAAAAGCAAAAGAAAGGUUUACAAAGCAAAUGUGACACAUUUUUUUAUAAUAUUUAGGAAUGUCAG